GGAGCACCAGGGGGGCCAGCAGGGCCGGUCUCACCACGGUCACCCUGUGAGGAGGAGGAAGAGGAGGAGGAAGAGGAGGAAGAGGAGAGGGGGUCCAGCGCUUCCACGAGCACCUUUGGGACCAGGAGCACCAACAGCACCCUGUGAGGGAAGGAGGAGGAGGUAGAGGAGGAGACACGGGCACCCACCUUGGGGCCAGCGAUGCCAUCAGCGCCAGGGAAACCGCGGCUGCCUGGAGCACCCUGCG